UUCGCCCUUCGGUUGAUCCUGCCGGACCUGACUGCUAUCGGAUUGAUACUAAGCCAUGCGAGUCAUUGUAGCAAUACAAGGCAGACGGCUCAGUAACGCGUAGUCAACCUAACCUAUGGACGGGAAUAACCUCGGGAAACUGAGAAUAAUGCCCGAUAGAACACUAUACCUGGAAUGGUUUGUGUUCCAAAUGAUUUAUCGCCGUAGGAUGGGACUGCGGCCUAUCAGUUUGUUGGUGAGGUAAUGGCCCACCAAGACUAUUACAGGUACGGGCUCUGAGAGGAGUAGCCCGGAGAUGGGUACUGAGACACGGACCCAGGCCCUAUGGGGCGCAGCAGGCGAGAAAACUUUGCAAUGUGCGAAAGCACGACAAGGUUAAUCCGAGUGAUUUGUGCUAAACGGAUCUUUUGUUAGUCCUAGAACCACUAACGAAUAAGGGGUGGGCAAGUUCUGGUGUCAGCCGCCGCGGUAAAACCAGCACCUCAAGUGGUCAGGAUGAUUAUUGGGCCUAAAGCAUCCGUAGCCGGCUCUGUAAGUUUUCGGUUAAAUCUGUACGCUUAACGUACAGGCUGCCGGGAAUACUGCAGAGCUAGGGAGUGGGAGAGGUAGACGGUACUC
rnacentral:rRNA from 1 species